CGAGGUAGAUGAAGAGGUCUGGAAAGGCCCGCCAUAGGAGGUAACAGCCCUGUAGUCAAAACUUCGUUCUCUCCUGAGUGGAUCCUGAGUACGGCGGAACACGUGAAAUUCCGUCGGAAUCCGGGAGGACCAUCUCCCAAGGCUAAAUACUCCCUAGUGACCGAUAGUGAACCAGUACCGUGAGGGAAAGGUGAAAAGCACCCCGGAAGGGGAGUGAAAGAGAUCCUGAAACCGUGUGCCUACAAGUAGUCAGAGCCCGUUAACGGGUGAUGGCGUGCCUUUUGUAGAAUGAACCGGCGAGUUACGAUCCCGUGCAAGGUUAAGCAGAAGAUGCGGAGCCGCAGCGAAAGCGAGUCUGAAUAGGGCGAAUUGAGUACGUGGUCGUAGACCCGAAACCAGGUGAUCUACCCAUGUCCAGGGUGAAGUUCAGGUAACACUGAAUGGAGGCCCGAACCCACGCACGUUGAAAAGUGCGGGGAUGAGGUGUGGGUAGGGGUGAAAUGCCAAUCGAACCUGGAGAUAGCUGGUUCUCUCCGAAAUAGCUUUAGGGCUAGCCUCAAGGUAAGAGUCUCGGAGGUAGAGCACUGAUUGGACUAGGGGCCCCUACCGGGUUACCGAAUUCAGUCAAACUCCGAAUGCCGAUGACUUAUCCUUGGGAGUCAGACUGCGAGUGAUAAGAUCCGUAGUCGAAAGGGAAACAGCCCAGACCGCCAGCUAAGGUCCCAAAGUAUACGUUAAGUGGAAAAGGAUGUGGAGUUGCUUAGACAACCAGGAUGUUGGCUUAGAAGCAGCCACCAUUUAAAGAGUGCGUAAUAGCUCACUGGUCGAGUGACUCUGCGCCGAAAAUGUACCGGGGCUAAACGUAUCACCGAAGCUGCGGACUGUUCUUCGAACAGUGGUAGGAGAGCGUUCUAAGGGCUGUGAAGCAAGACCGGAAGGACUUGUGGAGCGCUUAGAAGUGAGACUGCCGGUAUGAGUAGCGAAAGAGGGGCGAGAAUCCCCUCCACCGAAUGCCUCAGGUUUCCUGAGGAAGGCUCGUCCGCUCAGGGUUUGUCGGGACCUAAGGCGUGGCCGUAAGGCGUUGGCGAUGGAUAACAGGUUGUUUUUCCUGUACCACCUCCUCACCAUUUGAGCAAUGGGGGGACGCAGGAGGAUCGGGUAAGCGCGGUAUUGGAUACCCGCGUCCAAGCAGUUAGGCUGGGACAUAGGCAAAUCCGUUUCCCGUGAAGGCUGAGCUGUGAUGGCGAGCGAAUUAUAGUAGCGAAGUUCCUGAUUCCACACUGCCAAGAAAAGCCUCUAGCGAGGUGAGAGGUGCCCGUACCGCAAACCGACACAGGUAGGCGAGGAGAGAAUCCUAAGGUGAUCGAGAGAACUCUCGUUAAGGAACUCGGCAAAAUGACCCCGUAACUUCGGGAGAAGGGGUGCUCUGUUAGGGUGCAAGCCCGAGAGAGCCGCAGUGAAUAGGCCCAGGCGACUGUUUAGCAAAAACACAGGUCUCUGCGAAGCCGUAAGGCGAAGUAUAGGGGCUGACGCCUGCCCGGUGCUGGAAGGUUAAGCGGAGCGCUUCGCGUAAGCGAAGGUGCGACUUGAAGCCCCAGUAAACGGCGGCCGUAACUAUAACGGUCCUAAGGUAGCGAAAUUCCUUGUCGGGUAAGUUCCGACCCGCACGAAAGGCGCAACGAUCUGGGCACUGUCUCAACGAGAGACUCGGUGAAAUUAUAGUACCUGUGAAGAUGCAGGUUACCCGCGACAGGACGGAAAGACCCCGUGGAGCUUUACUGCAGCCUGAUAUUGAAUGUUGGUACAGCUUGUACAGGAUAGGUAGGAGCCUUGGAAACCGGAGCGCCAGCUUCGGUGGAGGCAUCGGUGGGAUACUACCCUGGCUGUAUUGACCUUCUAACCCGCCGCCCU
rnacentral:rRNA from 1 species